rnacentral:rRNA from 1 species
UAGAGUUUGAUCAUGGCUCAGAUUGAACGCUGGCGGCAGGCCUAACACAUGCAAGUCGAGCGGUAGAGAGAAGCUUGCUUCUCUUGAGAGCGGCGGACGGGUGAGUAAUGCCUAGGAAUCUGCCUGGUAGUGGGGGAUAACGUUCGGAAACGGACGCUAAUACCGUAUACGUCCUACGGGAGAAAGCAGGGGACCUUCGGGCCUUGCGCUAUCAGAUGAGCCUAGGUCGGAUUAGCUAGUUGGUGGGGUAAUGGCUCACCAAGGCGACGAUCCGUAACUGGUCUGAGAGGAUGAUCAGUCACACUGGAACUGAGACACGGUCCAGACUCCUACGGGAGGCAGCAGUGGGGAAUAUUGGACAAUGGGCGAAAGCCUGAUCCAGCCAUGCCGCGUGUGUGAAGAAGGUCUUCGGAUUGUAAAGCACUUUAAGUUGGGAGGAAGGGUUGUAGAUUAAUACUCUGCAAUUUUGACGUUACCGACAGAAUAAGCACCGGCUAACUCUGUGCCAGCAGCCGCGGUAAUACAGAGGGUGCAAGCGUUAAUCGGAAUUACUGGGCGUAAAGCGCGCGUAGGUGGUUUGUUAAGUUGGAUGUGAAAUCCCCGGGCUCAACCUGGGAACUGCAUUCAAAACUGACUGACUAGAGUAUGGUAGAGGGUGGUGGAAUUUCCUGUGUAGCGGUGAAAUGCGUAGAUAUAGGAAGGAACACCAGUGGCGAAGGCGACCACCUGGACUAAUA